AAAUUGGAUAGUCGCGUAUAGCAAAGCUGAAAAGCUACGUACGAGGAAAGUCCGGGCUCCACAGAGUAAUAAUGCUGGAUAACGUCCAGUGAGGGAAACCUUAAGGAAAGUGCAACAGAAAAUAACCGCCUAAAUUUUAGGUAAGGGUGAAAAGGCAGGGUAAGAGCCUACCGCUAAUAUGGUGACAUAUUAGGCUGUGUAAACCCCAUUUGGAGCAACACCGAGCCAGAAGGUUAAGACUACUCGUCGUCUUCUAAUUUGGUGGCAUGAAAUUUAUAGUAAUAUAAAUUCUAGAUAAAUGACUAUCCUAGACAGAACCCGGCUUAUAGAUUUACU
rnacentral:RNase_P_RNA from 1 species